rnacentral:rRNA from 1 species
GAUGAACGCUAGCUACAGGCUUAACACAUGCAAGUCGAGGGGCAGCAUGGUCUUAGCUUGCUAAGGCCGAUGGCGACCGGCGCACGGGUGAGUAACACGUAUCCAACCUGCCGUCUACUCUUGGACAGCCUUCUGAAAGGAAGAUUAAUACAAGAUGGCAUCAUGAGUCCGCAUGUUCACAUGAUUAAAGGUAUUCCGGUAGACGAUGGGGAUGCGUUCCAUUAGAUAGUAGGCGGGGUAACGGCCCACCUAGUCUUCGAUGGAUAGGGGUUCUGAGAGGAAGGUCCCCCACAUUGGAACUGAGACACGGUCCAAACUCCUACGGGAGGCAGCAGUGAGGAAUAUUGGUCAAUGGGCGAGAGCCUGAACCAGCCAAGUAGCGUGAAGGAUGACUGCCCUAUGGGUUGUAAACUUCUUUUAUAAAGGAAUAAAGUCGGGUAUGGAUACCCGUUUGCAUGUACUUUAUGAAUAAGGAUCGGCUAACUCCGUGCCAGCAGCCGCGGUAAUACGGAGGAUCCGAGCGUUAUCCGGAUUUAUUGGGUUUAAAGGGAGCGUAGAUGGAUGUUUAAGUCAGUUGUGAAAGUUUGCGGCUCAACCGUAAAAUUGCAGUUGAUACUGGAUAUCUUGAGUGCAGUUGAGGCAGGCGGAAUUCGUGGUGUAGCGGUGAAAUGCUUAGAUAUCACGAAGAACUCCGAUUGCGAAGGCAGCCUGCUAAGCUGCAACUGACAUUGAGGCUCGAAAGUGUGGGUAUCAAACAGGAUUAGAUACCCUGGUAGUCCACACGGUAAACGAUGAAUACUCGCUGUUUGCGAUAUACUGCAAGCGGCCAAGCGAAAGCGUUAAGUAUUCCACCUGGGGAGUACGCCGGCAACGGUGAAACUCAAAGGAAUUGACGGGGGCCCGCACAAGCGGAGGAACAUGUGGUUUAAUUCGAUGAUACGCGAGGAACCUUACCCGGGCUUAAAUUGCAGAUGAAUUACGGUGAAAGCCGUAAGCCGCAAGGCAUCUGUGAAGGUGCUGCAUGGUUGUCGUCAGCUCGUGCCGUGAGGUGUCGGCUUAAGUGCCAUAACGAGCGCAACCCUUGUUGUCAGUUACUAACAGGUUCCGCUGAGGACUCUGACAAGACUGCCAUCGUAAGAUGUGAGGAAGGUGGGGAUGACGUCAAAUCAGCACGGCCCUUACGUCCGGGGCUACACACGUGUUACAAUGGGGGGUACAGAGGGCCGCUACCACGCGAGUGGAUGCCAAUCCCCAAAACCUCUCUCAGUUCGGACUGGAGUCUGCAACCCGACUCCACGAAGCUGGAUUCGCUAGUAAUCGCGCAUCAGCCACGGCGCGGUGAAUACGUUCCCGGGCCUUGUACACACCGCCCGUCAAGCCAUGGGAGCCGGGGGUACCUGAAGUGCGUAACCGCGAGGAGCGCCCUAGGGUAAAACUGGUGAC